rnacentral:lncRNA from 7 species
GGUUAGUCCUUGUAUGAGUUGUGUUGAAGGAGUGCUGGUCUCUGGAUCAGCUGCAGUCAUGCCCAUUUCUGCCUGUGGGUACCAUGGAACCUGACCCACGGACUGAUUUUUUGGCUUAGUCUUGGGCCUAUCCUGUCAUCAUGCAUCUCUGUGGGCUGUCUGACCUGGUUACUCUUCAUGGUCUGAUUGUGACUGAACUUCGCUCCCAGCCCGACCCUGGACCUACCUCAUCAUCAUGUGCUCUUGAGUGUCUCUGGCUGGCUCCUGGGACUGCCGUGCUCAUCUUGCUCAGCAUGCCUGGCUCCUGUGCUUUGCAGAGGAUGCUCCACUUCGCCUGCAGCGAUGCUUCCAGGAGGAGGUCAGCAGCUGAGGAAUGGGCCUUAUUUUCCUUCCCAAAUCCUACAGGGAAGAAGCGACCGCAUGCUAGUCAUUGUUUUGAGAUUAUUUAAGAAACCACUGCUAUUGAACUAGCAGGAGAUCCUCUCAUCUGUGACCUAUGCCAGAUCCAUCUGAUUGUUAUGCCCCAGCUGCAGGCCGUAAUUUUCAUGGGAAAGUUUUAAGAAUGCCUGAAGAGUGACCGUCCUCUUUGCUACCCCUCACUGAUUUGUAUGGACGUCUCCUGGCCUCUCCAACAGCACUGUGGAGAGGGUUGUUUGAUUUCUUUUUAAACGUUGUCCUGCCUUCCUCCUCUUUUUUGACAAAACUGUACAUACAUGAAGACUCACUGUGUGUUGAGCAUGGCACAUGAAUGGAGGGACCACUUUGAACUACUUUUGCAACGAGGGAUUCUGCUCGACUGAUAAUGAAACCGUGGGAUAGACCUCGGGGAGGAAUGCGUGCAAGAUGAACGUGCGGCGGUCACCCCUCGCAAGCUGUUGGAGUGCCUACAGAAGCAGAGCUGAAGUUUGUCAUCACUGAUUGGGGGUAGAAAUUAAAACGACCUCUUGAACUUGAUGCAUAAAUACAGGCUCUUCAGCUUUUAACCCUGCUCCCCAUUACCUCGACAUAUUUUACCAUGAAGGAAACAUAUAAUGUAUUCUUUGUCACAUAUGGUCCACACUCUUGUGUCAGUGACAGUCCUUUUCCCAUGCAGGUGCAUUACCCAAUAAGCGUUCUUCAGGCAUGCCACUUAACGCUUUCCUGCUUAGCAAAUCUAUUGGAUUAACAUAAUCAUAGUAAAAGCACAGGACAAAAUAAAUAUUCCCCAAAGAAACUUUAGGAGGAUUUUGCCAUUUCUUGGCUAGUAAGAGAUGAUCCCUCAGCAGACAACAGACUGGCCUUGUUUUCAUUCCUCUUAUUUCAUCUGUCCCAAUGGAGCAAGAAAAAUGGAUCAGUGCUCAGGCAACAGGAGAAUGAGCAGCAUUGUUUGUAUUAUCUGUGGUUUUUGAUUCAGUCCACAGGGAAAGCUGAGAGUCAGGGGAAGAAUCAGGGAACUUUGUAUUCAGCCAACUUCAAAACCUUUGGUGGCUGGCCAGCUUUGGAAAACUUAAUUGUGCAUUUGCAUUGUGUGUUGCAGUACCUUGGAGACCUGCAAAGUGGUUCUCAUAUGUCCCUUUUGGGUGCUGAACUACUCCAAACAUCCCCGUUAAGCAAACAUACGGCUUCCAUAUUCACAGUGCAAUGUCCUGUACCCCCCACUCAGUGCUGUGGUGGUCUCUUAACAGUCUGGUAGUCCAAAGGGAGGCUGCAGGAUUGCUCUGUCCAUCACUCUGGGACCUCCCUGAGGCAUGCUUUGCCCUGGGGUGCUGAUAUUAGCACCUGCUUACCCAACAAGGAGCUGGUCGUCUCUGCCCCUCUGUCUCUUUCCAGUGUGUCUGGAAGCAACAUUAGCCACAUAUCUAUGCUCUUGUUCUAUUUCUUGUUAACAUUUGUCUUUGAAUGGUCUUGUGGUGGAACGGUAAUGCUGCUUUCUCAGAGACACAGCUGACAUUUUUUUCUUCUUCCACCACUUUAACUUUUGGUCCAGUUUGAGUCAUUUAACCUUGGAAGUGAGUUUGUAUCUGAAUGUGACUGGAUUGAUCCAUACUACUGUCAACACUUCUUUAGGGGAGAGAGAGAGAGAGACAAAAAGGAAAAAAUAAGGUAAGCAGUGAAUUUAUAGCACUCCAGAUGCCAGGGAAAUGAACAUAAAAGUGCAGAUGCCUUAUAGUCAGGAAGACUGCUCGAAUGUAUGCAAAUGGGUGACAAGUUUAUGUGAAUGUGGUUGAUAAAAGAAAGAAAAAGCAAGAAGAAAAUGCUUAAAUAAUCCUUUUCUUAUUACUGUGAGUCUUGAACACUGAGAUUGAUGGAAGCCGUGAUUGUGAUGACCCAAAGAAGGCCAAAGCCCUGACAAACAUGCUCAUCCAGGUAGACUUUGACUGAUCUUAACAUUCUUGGACAUGCCAUUAAAAUGCCAUGAAUUCGUACAUUCUAACUUAUGGAGCCUAUUGAUCAAGCUUUUCCUUGCACAGCAGUAUUUAGAUUAUUCUGCAAAUCAUCUUCAUGGCUAGCUAUGAGAGUUGUCUACAGUGUCUUCAGUUAGGAUAGGGUAAAUGUAUGGGAUUUAAGUGGGAGCAGAUGUACUUGCAUGUACAUUUCUUACAUCAGCUUCUCAAUUGUUUGGGAGUAACAAAACCAUUCUCUCUUUCAAACGUGCUUCCAACUUGUGAAUUAAUUAUAUCUGCUUCCCUGCAAACUUUUUAGGAGCAGCUGGUCUUCCUGGCAUCCUUAUUUCAUGCGAAGAAGCUUCUUGAUAGUAUGAAGUGCCAAAAGCAAAAGCCCUACCAUGGAUACUCAGAAUCAAGUGGUGUCUACAGCCAGGUGGAGGAAAUAACUUUCAGUGGGCAGUGUAAGGCAUCCAUCCCUGUGCAUUAUUUUGAUUUACUUUCUAUCUCUUCCUACUGUUGGAUAAAUACAAAAUUAUAGUCAGACAACCAUAAAAUUAAAGGAAACCGAUACAAUCUGGAUAAUCUGCUGCUAAACAGCUUGUAUGGAUCUGUGUCCAAACCCCAAGUCUUUAAAUAAAGCUUCAAGUGGACUGGCUUUUCUAACUAUCUCCACUUACUAUGCAAAAGGGAUUUAUAGAUGGCCACUACUAUUAAUGUUAUGGAGCGUUACUUGGGUAUGUUCUUUGUUUGCCCAUGAAGGAAAAGAUUUGCCAUGUAUGUAGUCCCAUGAUGCAAUAGUAGAACCUUUUAAAAAGUUAUUAAACAGGUAGUAAAAUUCUUUUACAAAAU